CAUCAGCGCCCUGUCUUUCUGCUGUUCCACGAGUCGCGCGCUGCGGGUUUGAUUUUAUUUUUUUCCAGAAAUGAUCAUAGAUCGGAAAUAACGUGGCCUUGGUGUGAGAUGUAACGCUUUAAAUGCAAUUAAUAGAAAAAAAAGAGAGAAAAAAAAGAAAUGAAAAGUGAGGACCGGCGGCGCAAACUGGCUCAGUAGGGAUUAAAUGAGGCUUACUGAAGAAAUCUCCCAUGAUACUAUAUCCUCUGGGAUGAUCAGUGUUGUUUCUCGGAUGAACGCAGAAAUUCCCAUCAGCUAACCUCCUCUGAAAAGAAGGCUCGUCAUCUGUUGACCAGCUUCCUCAUCUAAAUGCCACCAUGCCAAUCAUCAACACCAACCAUGAUUUUAGCAACCUAUCUGUCAGUGAUGACAGUAGCUUGGACCGCAUCUUUACUGAGAUCCCUGAAACAGAGACGAUCAAAGGUGUGUACUACCAGCGUGCACGCCUCUUACGCCGGCCUGAGGACCUUCUCUCGGUGGAUCACGCACUGCAGGCCCUCAUUAAUGUAGGGGGAAAUCGCUACACGUUGCCAUGGAGCACUUUGGAGCAGUUUCCAAUGACGCGUCUGGGAAAGCUGCGCACGUGCAGGAGCCCCGAGGAGAUUGCCGGUGUGUGUGACGACUAUGACGAGGCACGCCACGAGUUCUUCUUUGACCGCAGCCCCAACGCCUUCCGUGUCAUUUUAAACUUCCUAGCAGCAGGUAAGCUGCGGAUGCUGCGGGAGACAUGUGCACUGUCUUUGCACGAUGAGCUGACCUACUGGGGAAUAGAGACGGCAUGCAUGGAGCGCUGCUGCAAGCGAAAAAUGUACAUGCGCCUGGAAGAAGUGGGCGAUCACGAACGUCGCAAGCAGGAUGAGCUAAGGAGACGCAAUUCUCAGCAACGCCCCCCACAGGAUGACACAUGCUACCACCGAUUCAUGAGCCACCUCAGGGACAUGGUGGAGAAUCCACAGUCAGGGCUGCCAGGGAAGGUGUUUGCAUGUUUCUCUGUAAUUAUGGUGGCCGUCACUGUCAUCAGUCUGUGCAUCAGCACAAUGCCUGACCUGCGAGAGGAGGAGAACAGGGGUGAAUGCUCACAGAAGUGCUACCACAUGUUCAUCGUGGAGACCGUGUGCGUUGCGUGGUUUUCGCUGGAGUUUGUGUUACGCUUCCUGCAGGCACGCAGCAAGCUGGAGUUCCUAAGAGGACCACUCAACAUCAUCGACGCCAUGGCCAUCUUGCCCUACUAUGUGUCCCUGGCUGUAGAUGAAGAAGAGGAAGAGACAGGGUUUGACCAAGAACGCUCACCCGCUGGCAAGGGCUAUCUGGACAAGCUGGGCCUGGUGCUACGAAUCCUGCGAGCACUGCGUAUCUUAUAUGUAAUGCGGCUUGCACGACACUCACUGGGCCUGCAGACUCUGGGACUGACUGUACGGCGAAGCACUCGCGAGUUUGGCCUUCUGCUUCUCUUCUUGUGUGUAGCCGUGACACUAUUCUCACCACUUGUUCACCUGGCCGAAAGUGAACUAAGCGGUGAGCAGGACUUCAGCAGCAUCCCCGCCUCCUACUGGUGGGCCAUUAUCUCUAUGACGACAGUGGGGUAUGGUGACAUGGUGCCACGUAGCAUCCCUGGUCAGGUGGUGGCGCUCAGCAGCAUUCUGAGCGGCAUCCUUAUCAUGGCGUUCCCUGCCACCUCCAUCUUCCACAUGUUCUCGCGCUCCUACCAGGAGCUCAAACAAGAGCACCAACGCAUAAUGAAGGAGGAAUGUGCAAAAGCCGCAGCUGCGGCUAUGGACUUAUUUGGAGAGGAUCCAGAAAAAAGUGGGGAUCAUCUUCCACCUACACUAGCCGUCCAUCCAGAUCCUGAAAAGGGGGGAUCCAUUGAGGGUGUGUCUCCAUUAGAGAACAGUGGAGACUUAUCAGGCAAUAACAGACACACCAUAGCGCCAGGGAAGCUUUCUCUGACUGCCUCGUCGACUUAUAUUCCAAGGAAAUGAGUCAUGAUCACUGCUGACUACACAUACGGUGGUGUUAAAGCACUGAUGCACUUUAACCACUCUAAAAUACAAAAAUAAAAUAACCUGGUAAAGACUGGAUAACCGAAUUGUAUGCUUUUGUAUUGCUCUUUAACCAACAGGUGCAUCUGAGUCACAGAAGGCAGAGAUGAUGAAAUGCAGCUUGUAAUGUUCCUUCUGGGGUUACGAAAUGGCUAUCUUUCUGCAGCUUCUCUCAUGACUUCUGUUUGACUUCUCAAAGUCUUAAAUCCCACUGGUUCAAGGGUGUUGAGGAAUUUUCCAUAACAGCAGCUCUGGCAGUAGUGCUGACUGUAAUUCAAAUCAGAGCUCCAGUUGGCUCUGCGUUCAGUGCAUGUGUUGGCCACAGAGUUUGGUGAUGCUGGGAGGACUGCUGAGCAGUGUAGGGAUAGUCGUUGGAGUAUACAGUCAAAAUCUGUUCCAGCUUUACAUCACUGUGGGAUUUCUGACAGUGCCCUCUUUUUGGCUUUGACUAUGCUCUGACCUGGACUGUAACCAUGCUGGGCUGCUAUUUUAAGAAGCAGCGGCCCGUUGCCAAAGCUCUCACCAGUGCAGAUAACCAGGAGGCCAUGCAACACUAAAGAAAAGUCUAAAAUCCAGGAAUGAUGGAGUCGAAUGGUAAUGGAACUUGUCAAAAACUAUUGUA